UUGUGUUUAACUAAUUAACUAACAAAUUAAAAUAGUAAAUUAACAACUACAGAUACCGAGGGUUAGAGACAAGAUUAAGGAGGUCUAGAGUUAUGAUUUUCCCAAUUGUCGGAAUCCUUCUCGCUAUAUCUUCUAUAAUUUCGCUUAAGUAUUCUCUACCUAUCAUGAGCACUCUUAUUACCGUAAAUUCUCCAGAGUAAUCACGACAAUUUACUAGACGCACUCUCCCGAGCUACGCUAGCUGGCUUUUAAUACAGCUCACUUCACAUUGCACCCAAGACUUCGUUAUCCCUAAUCCCGCCUUUAAACCCUUGGUUAUUGAUUCCUCGCAUACGUCGGGAGUGAUGUUGUUCAACAACUACCUAAAUAUGCACUCUCUCCCGAGUAAUACAUACUAAAUAGCACAGCUAAUUGAGGAUCCUAUCAAUUAACUACAACAAGAACAUAGUUGAACAAAUAAAGAUUAUACUACGGCUCAACUAUAUAAAAACAUAACAAGAAUUUAUCCUACAAAAGGUUCCAUCAAAACCCUAAAUAACAAAUUAGCUAUUCAUAAUAGUAUGUAAAACUACAAUACUAAAAGUCAUAACCAACAAUGAAAAAUAGGAAGAGGAAGGAAAAACUCGUAAAAGAAUUUCCCGCCUUGCUCCUAUUGUGCCUCUGUCUCCUUAGGUCUAAAAUAUGUCAAAAGUGUGUCCAACCUCCUCAAAAUAGCAUUUUUACAUGUAUUUAUACCAAGUAGGGUCGGGCCUAAACGUAAAAACCCUUUCCUGCGCGAACUAGGACUUCGCUCUGUAAAAGUUGAACAGUCGCGCCACAGGCUGCACCGCACCAUGCGGCGCAUUAGUGUAUUUUAUCAGCAGCCUCGACUUUUCGCAUCAGGCAGCAUUUUACACUGCUGCGCCGCGCCUUGCGGCGCCCCAAUAUAAUUUUCUCAGAGUGAACUUAUUUCGCCCUCUUUUAACAUCCGAACUUGGUAUACUACCUCCGAUCACGAUCCCGGCUUAAUGUAUUGGGCUUUUACUCAGACUUCAAAGCUCCAAAUUGAUCAACUUAGCUCCAAAUUAACUUUUGAGCACAUGAUCACUUCCUGCAAGGCAUAAAACACGUACUAAGUGCAAUUCACUAUCAUUUGAACUCAAACGCACGUAAGAAAUGCAGUCAUUGGCAUGUAAUACUACGGCUAAAACACGGGUUUAUAGCCCAACAUCACAAGUUGAGAGAGAGAACAACCAGGAUACAAUUCUGCAUCGGCAGCCUGUAGCAAAUCAUAGAACUUCUGGGAUUCAGGAUUAGGAUCCUUCUCCAUUGAAGGUUCAUAAGGAAGAGAUAACUCAGGUUCAACAUUACUAUCAGAUUGCCAAGUUGAACCCUGGCUAAUUUUGGGCCCAGCUAUAUCAAAAAUCAUUCGUCGGUAUGGAUUCUCAUAUCCAAGUUCUGGUUGAGCACCACUAUUCAAGUUACUACUAGAAGACAACUCAUUUGUCAGACAUCUUUCCCCUUGAUAUAUCCAAACAAAAUAAUUCUCAACAAAUCCAAAUUGCAAAAGGUGUAAUCUAACGGUUUCAACAUCAAUGUAUUUAAUGUUGUGACAUUUUUUACAAGUACAUCUAACAUUGUCACCACUCAUGCGAUUUCGUUGACAACGUGCAAAGUGGAGAAACUUAUCCACGCCGGAUAUGAAACAUGAAUUAAUACCCCCUCGUCCAUCUAACCUCUCAUACAUCCAACCACGCUCUAGAUUCUCCAUUUUCCUAUUUAAUAUUAAAAUUAAAACGACAAACAAAUAUUAUUAUUUUUUAUAAGUAUUACAUAAGAAUAAAGUAAAGAAAAGAUAUACUUAACCUUACCAAACACCUAGUACUACCUUUUAAUGCACGAAGGAAAGAAACCAAAAUACAUGGCAGCAAAAAAACUCAAGUAGUUAUUUUUAUUUUAUAACUCAUAAAUUAUUAAAGAAAAAGAACAUCAAAGAUACAUCGAGAAGCUAAUGUAAGAUUAAAUAGAUCGCAAACACAUCAGAAAGCUAGUGUACAUCAGAACAUCACAAAUAAAUCCCUAGCAGUCACUACAUAUAAACAAUCUCAAAUACAUCAGAACAUCACAAAUACAUUAGAAAGCUAAUGUAAGCUAUGUGAAUAUUUAAGACAAUUAAGAAUUAUCUCGCAUCCCUAGUUGUGACUAUAUGUAAGAUUAACCAUUUGUGAAAAAGCUAAAAUUCUAAAUAACAUUGACAUUUCAUUUUAAGAAAGCGCUAAGAAGAACAAGAAAAGAAAGAGGGAGGGGGGGGGGGAGGAGAGAGAUAGUGAGAGUAAAAUAUAUGUCAAACAAAAUAAAUUAAGACCUAUGUAUAAGUUAAUAGAAAGAUACCAAUACCUUAACUAAUCCCUCAGAAAUCUUUGAGAUUGUUUCGUACCGUUUCCUGAAUUGAAGCUGAGAAAAAAUAAAUUUAGUCAGACGGAUGCAAAAAGAAUACCACAUAGAUUUAUAUUGUAAUAUGAAGAACCACAUGCAAAAAGCUACACAGCUCAUAUUCCAAGGAAAUAGAGAAAAAUAAAAAUACAAAUCAGUAACCUAAUUCAAGGAAAAGGUUUGGAUGCAGCUAAUAAUAAUGGGGGAUAAUUCACUUGUUGGAUGUCAAGGAUCUGAUGCUAAUAAGCUACUAAAUACAACAACUGUUGCUAGGAAUAUUAAUGUUGUUCCUGUUAAAACAGCCUUGGGGAGGGUUUCACAGGACUCAGCUGCAGCUGGACAGAUUGUGCGGCCUAUGGAUGGUGUUUCACAGGAUGUGAAUGCAAGUUUGGAGACUACUAGUGCUGUGAAUGCAACAGGAGUGAAGGAGUGAAUGUUACAGUUGCUACAGGUGAUAAGGCAGUGAUCAAGGAGGAUCAAUUGCCUAAAAAUUUGGUGCGCGAUCAACCUGCUGCUGCAGUUGGUGAAUCAGCUGAUAAAUCAGCAGGCCUUAAAGCUACUGGGCAAGAUCAUGUAGGUGUUAUGGCUUUGAAGUGUGCAGCUACUACAGGUUCUAAAGCAUCAAAUAUAUAGGCUAAACAUCUUCAACUUUUAGCUGGAGUUGAGCAUACUGCUUUUGGAAGUUUGAAACCUAUUGUUGCUAUUGCUGGUGCGUUGAAUACAACAGCUGAUCGAGCUGCUACUGAUGUUGUUGAAUCAGUGAUUCAAGGAGCUAAGGUUUCUAAUGUUAUUCCUACAAGAACUGGGCAAAACACCACUGGUAAGAGGCAGACUAAUGUGCCAGAAGCAUCAAAGGCAGUUAGUGUUGCUAACUCUUUAUAGAUUUUAAAAAUAUGUAUCUAUCAUAUUUUAUAAUGAUUAUUUUGGAGUUAAAGAUGUACAUAUCCAAACAUUAUAAUAUACUGUAGUUAGAUCUUGUACUGUAGUGACCGCAACAACUUCCAACAAGUAUCAAAACCAUAUAUUGCCAGUUUGAAGUGAAAAUACAAUUUCCAUGUUCUUGUGAAAAGCUAAUAACUGAUGUGUCUAAUACUAGUAUUUAGAGCACAAGCAACCUUAUUUGAGCCCAUGUAACUCUAGAGUAGUGAUGCCAUGCCUUGAUGAGCUCAUCAUAAAUGCAAGAAUUAUCACCUAGAGGUGGAAGCUCAACUCAUAAAUAUGUUGUAUUGUACUAUAUUAGUGUGCUCACUUGUACUAUUGUCCUUAAUGCCAUCGAUGUGAUUUUCAUAUUCACAAUCAUCUUCCCAGAAAAGUAUCAUAUUAUAUGCAUAGGCUUAUGUAGUUCUCUAUCCGUAGUCAGAUUCUUCAGCAAGCCUUAUUCUCAGAAGUAAAGUGCACUUGAAUUUUGCAGUCUUUAUAAGAGGUGGGGACACCUUCAUACUCUACCUCAGUGAAAAGCAUGAAACUCGAAAUAAUCAUACAAAUAGUACUAAUAACAUUACCCAAAUAGCUUUGUCAUUUUGAGUAAUCAUCAGUUGAAAUGUACAAAUCUUUUUGAGAACUCAAUGCAUUAAAAAUAAAGGUAAAAAAAGAAGUAAACGCCUUCAUCGUCCUUAGGGGAUUUUGGGUGAGUGAAGGCUAACUUCGCUAACACAGAUCUAAAGACACCUAACUUCAAUUUUAAUCACUAAAUAUCACCAAAAUUCGUAUAAAUCAAGAUUUCAACACAAAAGAAACCCCCAAAUCAGAUUUUAGCAACAGUAAGUAGUAAUAAUAUACAUAUUUAUGCACAAAUGAGACAUACCCAGAAUAUGUCAACUCCUACUUCAUAUUUGACUUCACAUACUACAAAGAAAAAGAGGGAAGAGGUAAAAUGCUUGAUUUAUUUUACAUCUACCAAAACCCUACAAAAUUUACUGUAAAAAAUUUGCUAAUAAACAGAGAAAGAAGUAGAGACAUACCAGUCUUUUAGAAAAGAAAUGACUUAGUAGUGCAUCUGGGAAGAUUAGUGGAAGAUUAGAGUAGAAGAAGAAGGAGGAGGAAAGGGCUCGUUACUCACGAAGAAGGAAAGGGGCUCGUUACUGUGAGGGAGGGUCUUAGGACAAAGUGAAAAUAUUAGAUGCCUUUUUUUUAAUACCAAGCGACAAACAAUUCUGUUGCAACAAGGGAAAGAUAGUCUCAUUAAAGAAGGAAGAUUAGCGACAAAUACGGUCCGUCGCUAAAUACGUUGCUAAAAUGUCAUACAUUUUGUCAUCCAGAUUUCCU
rnacentral:lncRNA from 1 species